UACGUAGGGGGCAAGCGUUGUCCGGAUUUAUUGGGCGUAAAGAGCGUGUAGGCGGCCAUACAGGUCCGUUGUGAAAACUGGAGGCUUAACCUCCAGACGUCGAUGGAAACCGUAUGGCUAGAGUCCGGAAGAGGAGAGUGGAAUUCCUGGUGUAGCGGUGAAAUGCGCAGAUAUCAGGAAGAACACCCGUGGCGAAGGCGAGUCUCUGGGCAACUACUGACGCUGAGGAGCGAAAGCGUGGGGAGCGAACAGG
rnacentral:rRNA from 1 species